UAUGGAAAUCUGGGGGCGGCUGUAAAAAAGGCUAUGGGUUUCUAUUUUUCUAACUGUAUUUAAAUCUCUCCUUCUACAUGUUGAGACAUGUAUAUACACAGACCACUUCACCUGAGCGAAUUAGCGUCCAGAAACCCUGACCACGUGAUUCCCCCCGCCCUCACAGUGACUGAAGAUCAGUGCAGGGGGAUACAGGUCGAAGCCUUAAGUUUCUUCAUUAUCAUUGUUUCUGGACUGUUUAAAGAUCGCCUUUUGGACAAAGUGUUGUGUGUGAAUGCAAAAAAAAACCACAACCACGACCAAACCAUCUGUUGAGUGGUGACAAUAAAUGGGUUAUUCCCAGAAAAGU